UACAGAGGGGGCAAGCGUUAUUCGGAAUUAUUGGGCGUAAAGAGCUCGUAGGCGGCUUGUCGCGUCGAAUGUGAAAACCCGAGGCUCAACUUCGGGCUUGCAUUCGAUACGGGCAGGCUCGAGUUCGGUAGGGGAGACUGGAAUUCCUGGUGUAGCGGUGAAAUGCGCAGAUAUCAGGAGGAACACCGGUGGCGAAGGCGGGUCUCUGGGCCGAUACUGACGCUGAGGAGCGAAAGCGUGGGGAGCGAACAGG
rnacentral:rRNA from 1 species